ACCCAGGCCCCAGCAGUCUCUCUUUCCUUUCACUUUUGUCUCUUUCGUAUCUCUUCCUUAAAGCCCCCUCUAUCUGGCCCAUCCGGAAGCUCCACAAAUCUUGUAUGUGUUAAUUUCUUACGACAGAACAUAGGGUUUUCGAUGGUUCAAAACCCUUCUUUUAACACCAGAGUUUCGUCCAACCCUCGAAGAGUUUCAA
rnacentral:lncRNA from 1 species